GGAUUAGAUUAAUUGCUGGAGGUAGUUAGCAUAUUGCCCAAUUUAAGAACUACUACUAAACUCUAACCAAAUUGCGAAUUUCGACACGUUAUAAUGCCGUUUCCUAACCAUUAGAUUUCCGUCAAAUCUUCCCCCAAAGUCCAGGAAAUGGCAUUUGAGAGACUCCAAAUUCAAAACCUCACACUUGCAGCGCUCGGCUCGUGCCUUCGGCCCUCGUUUACCAAGCGUCACAUUAUAGGGCGCAUAUUGGUUGCCAGCUCACUGCCCCCCCCCCCCGCAGAAUAAUGGUACCCAGCACGCCACUGUGUUUCGGAAUAUACUAUUUUGCGAAAUAUGUUACCACAUAUGCCUCGGUUUGAACGCGG